UGCCAGCAGCCGCGGUAAUACAGAGGUCCCAGAGCGUUGUUCGGAUUCACUGGGCGUAAAGGGUGCGUANGCGGUGGAGUAAGUCUGACGUGAAAUCUCGGGGCUCAACCCGGAAACUGCGUUGGAUACUAUUUCGCUCGAGGAAUGGAGGGGAGACUGGAAUACUUGGUGUAGCAGUGAAAUGCGUACAUAUCAAGUGGAACACCA
rnacentral:rRNA from 1 species